ACUGAACGCUGGCGGCAUGCUUUACACAUGCAAGUCGAACGGCAGCACGGGGGCAACCCUGGUGGCGAGUGGCGAACGGGUGAGUAAUAUAUCGGAACGUACCCGGAAAUGGGGGAUAACGUAGCGAAAGUUACGCUAAUACCGCAUAUGCCCUAAGGGGGAAAGCGGGGGAUUCGCAAGAACCUCGCGUUUUCGGAGCGGCCGAUAUCGGAUUAGCUAGUAGGUGAGGUAAAGGCUCACCUAGGCGACGAUCCGUAGCUGGUCUGAGAGGACGACCAGCCACACUGGAACUGAGACACGGUCCAGACUCCUACGGGAGGCAGCAGUGGGGAAUUUUGGACAAUGGGCGCAAGCCUGAUCCAGCCAUGCCGCGUGAGUGAAGAAGGCCUCGGUUGUAAGACUCUUCUAGCCGGAAAGAAAACGACACGGGUUAAUAACCUAGUGUGGAUGACGGUACCGGAAGAAGAAGACA
rnacentral:rRNA from 1 species